rnacentral:rRNA from 1 species
AGAGUUUGAUCCUGGCUCAGGACGAACGCUGGCGGCGUGCUUAACACAUGCAAGUCGAACGAAAAGAGGGAAAGAGCUUGCUCUUUCCGGAAUUGAGUGGCAAACGGGUGAGUAACACGUAAACAACCUGCCUUCAGGAUGGGGACAACAGACGGAAACGACUGCUAAUACCGAAUAAGUUCCAAGAGCCGCAUGGCCCAUGGAAGAAAAGGUGGCCUCUACCUGUAAGCUAUCGCCUGAAGAGGGGUUUGCGUCUGAUUAGCUGGUUGGAGGGGUAACGGCCCACCAAGGCGACGAUCAGUAGCCGGUCUGAGAGGAUGAACGGCCACACUGGAACUGAGACACGGUCCAGACUCCUACGGGAGGCAGCAGUGGGGAAUCUUCCGCAAUGGGCGAAAGCCUGACGGAGCAACGCCGCGUGAGUGAUGACGGCCUUCGGGUUGUAAAACUCUGUGAUCCGGGACGAAAAGGCAGAGUGCGAAGAACAAACUGCAUUGACUGUACCUGCAGAAGAAGCCCCGGCUAACUACGUGCCAGCAGCCGCGGUAAUACGUAGGGGGCGAGCGUUAUCCGGAUUCAUUGGGCGUAAAGCGCGCGUAGGCGGCCCGGCAGGCCGGGGGUCGAAGCGGGGGGCUCAACCCCCCGAAGCCCCCGGAACCUCCGCGGCUUGGGUCCGGUAGGGGAGGGUGGAACACCCGGUGUAGCGGUGGAAUGCGCAGAUAUCGGGUGGAACACCGGUGGCGAAGGCGGCCCUCUGGGCCGAGACCGACGCUGAGGCGCGAAAGCUGGGGGAGCGAACAGGAUUAGAUACCCUGGUAGUCCCAGCCGUAAACGAUGGACGCUAGGUGUGGGGGGAUGAUCCCCCCGUGCCGCAGCCAACGCAUUAAGCGUCCCGCCUGGGGAGUACGGCCGCAAGGCUAAAACUCAAAGGAAUUGACGGGGGCCCGCACAAGCAGUGGAGUAUGUGGUUUAAUUCGACGCAACGCGAAGAACCUUACCAGGUCUUGACAUCAAGUGACCGCCUAAGAGAUUAGGCUUUCCCUUCGGGGACACAAAGACAGGUGGUGCAUGGUUGUCGUCAGCUCGUGUCGUGAGAUGUUGGGUUAAGUCCCGCAACGAGCGCAACCCUUAUCAUUAGUUGCUACGCAAGAGCACUCUAAUGAGACUGCCGUUGACAAAACGGAGGAAGGUGGGGAUGACGUCAAAUCAUCAUGCCCUUUAUGACCUGGGCUACACACGUACUACAAUGGCGUUUAACAAAGAGAAGCAAAGCCGCGAGGCAGAGCAAAUCUCCAAAAAACGUCUCAGUUCGGAUUGUAGGCUGCAACUCGCCUACAUGAAGUCGGAAUUGCUAGUAAUCGUAGGUCAGCAUACUACGGUGAAUACGUUCCCGGGCCUUGCACACACCGCCCGUCA